GUUCAGAGCGAGCAUGUGAAGCAGCUGGUAACUAGUGAUAUCAAUAUGCAGCUCCUGACCUCGUAUCUGUUUUCAUAAUGGACUUUUGGAGCAUGAAGCUAUCUGCCACAUCAGUAUAGAAGAUGAUGCUGAUUAUUUUCCAGAAAUUUCUACUUUUUCUCAGUCUUCCAGAUGUUUAGCUAAGGAGCUAUCUUCUUAUAUCCCUCUGGAAAUGUAUUGAUGGUUUGAAACUCAGUGCCUGAGCAUGCGUGUAAGCACUCAUUGACAGAAUAAUGCACCUUGAUGACAGAGGUUGUGUGAUCUUGGUUCUAAAAUGAAGAAGGUGUUAUAAAGUGGAGGUUGACACCAUUCUAAUAACUAAAACUGAAACACCCAAAGAGCAGCCACUUACCGUAUAAUUUGUUAAAAGCAGUGUGGAAAGUGGUGUAACCUCCCUGUCAGCAACUUCUAAUGGUUAAAUAAAAAAAGACCUUGACACUCACUUUACAA